UCCAGCUGGUUCUCUUUAAGUGUACCGCUCGUCUGGCUGCCGGUCACAAGCCGAACUUCCGCCCAUGUGACCGGCAGCCAGACGAGCGGUACACUUAAAGAGAACCA